GUCUAGUUCAUUAAAAAGGGUUUUCAAGCUCCCAGUAACAGAAUUACUAUUGACAAUUUCAUUAGAACUAUGAUUCCAGUGCUUUCCAGAAGAUCCAGUGUGGUCCAUGGUCGCAGCCUGUCCAUCUCCAAUAUAUUUACAGCUCCUCGGAUUCAUCCCCCUCAAAUUCUGAAGGGCCAAACCCACCAGUUUUUGUGAGCUGGAUCCACCAGCCUCCAAAGUUCUUGGAGAAUUACAGAGCUGUCAGCUGCCAUCUGACUGUUCCCGUGGCUGGAAAGAUGCUUCAGGUGCAGGUUGAUACUCUAGAAAGAGUUCCAUGGAAACACUUCUGAAAAACUUUUAUGUUUGACCAAGAAGGGGGAAAAAAAAAAAAAAAAGCCAACAAACUAACACCCCAGCUGAAAAUCAGCCGUUAUAAUUUGAGUGUAAUUUGAGUCAGGUGCUUUCAACAGGUGCCCCUUGUUAGAGAGAAAAGCUCUGGAAACCCUGAAAAGCCCUGAGCAGGGUGGGGCUAGGCUAGUAUAAUCCUGAUUUUCAGCCUUUCCAGAGUGGGUUUAGUUAUCUAAUUGGACAGCUAAACUUAGUUGAUGAGUUUAUAGCUAAUUACAUUUUAUUUAAAAAUUACUCUUUAGAAUUUUGCUCCUGUACAAGUGAGUUUUCUACAAAUGAAAUGAUGGAAAGCUAGAUUUGAUUUUUAGGCUUUCUCUAGUUGGAGUGAGCUGGUCUUGACCUGAAAGUCCUUCGUCUGCCACCAGUGGAUGCAUGGAGAACAGAGAGGCUUGUCUCCAAAGAGUGGUGGAACAAGAGGUGGAAACUGGAUACCAACCAUGUCUGUGUGGAGAAAAACAUCUUGUGCCCGUUUCUUCUUCCUCAUCUUCUCUCCUGUGAUCAUCUGCCACACACCUGCUCCUUCUCCAGGACUCAGGCCCGUCCUGUGCUCCUCUGCAUUUGGCCAAAGGAUGUUUUUAUUCCCAAGUUAAGGUUCUGGGCAAUGGCCACUUUGGUGGCCACAGCAAGGGGGUCAUGGGCACCUAAAUCUGAAAAUGUUUCUCCAACCUGUUAAAACCUUUUCCUGCUCUGUUGACUUUUGUGCUGAUACUGCUGUGCUCUCUGUAGGAGUGACAGGUGUCCUUUUGAGUAUAAACAUCCCUCAAAAUGUUUUACAAAAUCGUUAUGGAUGUAUUGAG
rnacentral:lncRNA from 1 species